rnacentral:rRNA from 1 species
GGCGUCCUACGGGAGGCAGCAGUGAGGAAUAUUGGUCAAUGGGCGGAAGCCUGAACCAGCCAAGUCGCGUGAGGGAAUAAGGCCCUACGGGUCGUAAACCUCUUUUGCCGGGGAGCAAGGGCCGGGACGAGUCCCGGUCCGGAGAGUACCCGGAGAAAAAGCAUCAACUAACUCCGUGCCAGCAGCCGCGGUAAUACGGAGGAUGCGAGCGUUAUCCGGAUUUAUUGGGUUUAAAGGGUGCGUAGGCGGGCUUUUAAGUCAGCGGUAAAAAUUCGGGGCUCAACCCCGUCCGGCCGUUGAAACCG